GACGAACGCUGGCGGCGUGCUUAACACAUGCAAGUCGAACGGAAAGGCCUCAGCUUGCUGGGGUACUCGAGUGGCGAACGGGUGAGUAACACGUGGGUGAUCUGCCUUGCACUCUGGGAUAAGCUUGGGAAACUGGGUCUAAUACCGGAUAGGAACUGCCUUUAGUGUGGUGGUUGGACAGUUUUUUCGGUGCGAGAUGAGCUCGCGGCCUAUCAGCUUGUUGGUGGGGUAAUGGCCUACCAAGGCGUCGACGGGUAGCCGGCCUGAGAGGGUGUACGGCCACAUUGGGACUGAGAUACGGCCCAGACUCCUACGGGAGGCAGCAGUGGGGAAGAUUGCACAAUGGGCGGAAGCCUGAUGCAGCGACGCCGCGGGGGGGAGGACGGCCUUCGGGUUGUAAACGCCUUUCGACAGGGACGAAGCUUUUUGUGACGGUACCUGUAUAAGAAGCACCGGCUAACUACGUG
rnacentral:rRNA from 1 species